rnacentral:rRNA from 1 species
GACGAACGCUGGCGGCGUGCUUAACACAUGCAAGUCGAACGGUGAAGCGCUUUCCUUUUUGGUUGGUGUGGAUGAGUGGCGAACGGGUGAGUAACACGUGAGUAACCUGCCCCCUUCUUCUGGAUAACCGCAUGAAAGUGUGGCUAAUACGGGAUAUUCUGCGCCUGCUGCAUGGUGGGUGUGGGAAAGAUUGUGCCUUUGGGUGUUUUCGGUGGGGGAUGGGCUCGCGGCCUAUCAGCUUGUUGGUGGGGUGAUGGCCUACCAAGGCGGUGACGGGUAGCCGGCCGGAGAGGGUGGGCGGUCACACUGGGACUGAGACACGGCCCAGACUCAUACGGGAGGCAGCAGUGGGGAAUAUUGCACAAUGGGCGCAAGCCUGAUGCAGCGACGCCGCGUGAGGGAUGGAGGCCUUCGGGUUGUGAACCUCUUUCGCCAGUGAAGCAGGCCUGCUCCUUGUGGGUGGGUUGACGGUAGCUGGAUAAGAAGCGCCGGCUAACUACGUG